AGUGGCCUCGCAGCUGGGGCAAGGGGGACAUCCCCGGCGCCGCGGAGCCGCGAGCGGAGCGAGCGCCCGGGGCGCACCUGAGCCUCCAGCACUCCCCGCGGCCGCGGAAACAUUUUCCUGGGCAUCUAAAAGUAUUGUGGACCUGAGACACUGUGCUUACAGGGCCUACUGGUUUUCACUGUAUGAGACCGAGAAUGGAUUAUGGCAGUUCCUCUUACCUCCGCUGCAUACUUGACUCCAUCCACGGUGUGCUCAGAGCCAUGAUCAUCCGAAGAGCCCCAGUGAAGAUGAAACUGGCGAAGUCGGUAGGGUCCAGGGAGAGGACCCCCUCUCAGCACUGUGAUUCAGAUAAGCUUGGUCAACAGUGAAUUCAUGCUUCUUUUACAGAGCUCUACUUUAACCAAGUGCUCUUAGAGCCAAGGCUUAAUGGACAAAAUGUGGUCAGUUUGCUGGGUGGAUGGUGCCACUCCCAGGACACUGGACUCCUCACAAAAUGAAGUCUGGGGAUAUGUCAAGAUAAAUGAUUGUUCUUUUCUGUCUUUCUUAUUUUGUUUGCUUG
rnacentral:lncRNA from 1 species